GAUUUCUGGUAUGAUGUAUCUGUCCCGCCACGGUUAACGUGUGUGAGUGACGGUAUAUGUCUGCCAUCCUUCUAGAGGAAAUAUAGUGUUGGCCUUUACUGGUUCGAUAUUAUAUAUUAAUCUAGAUCUUUUACUUUGAAAAAAUUAGAGUGUUUCAAGCAGGCUACAAUUGCUAUGAAUACAUUAGCAUGGAAUAAUAAGUUAGGACUUCGGUUCUAUUUUGUUGGUUUCUAGAGCUGAAGUAAUGAUUGAUAGGGAUAGUUGGGGGUGCUAGUAUUCAGCGGCCAGAGGUGAAAUUCUUGGAUUCGCUGAAGACUAACUUAUGCGAAAGCAUU
rnacentral:rRNA from 1 species